CCUGAGGUUCACAACACAGGCCGGUCUUGGUGUUCCUGCAUUCCACUUUCCUUUGGUUCAGUUUGAGCAGCAGUUGCCAUCAUGAGACUGGGCGUGCUUCUACUCCUGUCGGUGCUUUGGACGGCGCAAGGAUUUCCUGCACGGAAUGGUUGCGUCGGAAGACCAGGCGGUUCCCCAGGUUAGGCAAUCCAUCUUUCCAACCAGUGGUAUUUGUACCCGUCUACUUGGCUUCCCCGGCAACUGGUCCAUGCGGUGGUCCAGGUCAAGGAGGUGAUGGUGGAAGUGGAGGAAGUGGUACCGGAAGUGGAAGUGGUACCGGAAGUGGAGGAAGCGGUGGAAGUGGAACUGGAACUGG